UACGGAGGGUGCAAGCGUUAUCCGGAUUCACUGGGGUUAAAGGGUGCGUAGGAGGGCAGGUAAGUCAGUGGUGAAAUCCCUGAGCUUAACUUGGGAACUGCCGUUGAUACUAUCUGUCUUGAAUAUCGUGGAGGUGAGCGGAAUAUGUCAUGUAGCGGUGAAAUGCUUAGAUAUGACAUAGAACACCAAUUGCGAAGGCAGCUCGCUACACGAAUAUUGACUCUGAGGCACGAAAGCGUGGGGAUCAAACAGG
rnacentral:rRNA from 1 species